UACGUAGGUGGCAAGCGUUGUCCGGAUUUACUGGGCGUAAAGAGCGCGAGAGCGGUCGUUCAAGUCGCGUGUGAAAGCCCCCGGCUCAACUGGGGAGGGUCACGCGAUACUGAUCGACUCGAAGGCAGGAGAGGGUAGUGGAAUUCCCGGUGUAGCGGUGAAAUGCGUAGAGAUCGGGAGGAACACCAGAGGCGAAGGCGGCGACCUGGACAGGUACUGACACUCAACUACGAAAGCGUGGGGAGCAAACAGG
rnacentral:rRNA from 1 species